rnacentral:lncRNA from 1 species
UCGAACCUAAACACACAUGACAUUGGUUCUUACUGAAUCAUAGGGUAUUAACAAGUCUUUCAUAUAAACUAAGAUUAUCACAUUAACAAUGGAAGUACAUACUAACUUUUGACUUGUAUCAUAUACAUGUUACUAGAAUAAUACUCAUAUCUAUGUGUCAUACCCUAAAUUUUCCAUCCCCAAAAUAUUUUCAUUUGCAUUUUGAUUCAUUCGUCUGCAUCGAUUCAUCUAUAUAUGCAUUUG